rnacentral:rRNA from 1 species
AUUGAACGCUGGCGGCAGGCCUAACACAUGCAAGUCGAACGGUAACAGAAAGCAGCUUGCUGCUUUGCUGACGAGUGGCGGACGGGUGAGUAAUGUCUGGGAAACUGCCUGAUGGAGGGGGAUAACUACUGGAAACGGUAGCUAAUACCGCAUAACGUCGCAAGACCAAAGAGGGGGACCUUCGGGCCUCUUGCCAUCGGAUGUGCCCAGAGGGGAUUAGCUAGUAGGUGGGGUAACGGCUCACCUAGGCGACGAUCCCUAGCUGGUCUGAGAGGAUGACCAGCCACACUGGAAAUGAGACACGGUACAGACUCCUACGGGAGGCAGCAGUGGGGAAUAUUGCACAAUGGGCGCAAGCCUGAUGCAGCCAUGCCGCGUGUAUGAAGAAGGCCUUCGGGUUGUAAAGUACUUUCAGCGAGGAGGAAGGUGUUGAGGUUAAUAACCUCAGCAAUUGACGUUACUCGCAGAAGAAGCACCGGCUAACUCCGUGCCAGCCGCCGCCGUAA